GACGAACGCUGGCGGCGUGCUUAACACAUGCAAGUCGAACGAAGAGCGAUGGAAGCUUGCUUCUAUCAAUCUUAGUGGCGAACGGGUGAGUAACGCGUAAUCAACCUGCCCUUCAGAUGGGGACAACAGUUGGAAACGACUGCUAAUACCGCAUACGAUCUAAUCUCGGCAUCGAGGAUAGAUGAAAGGUGGCCUCUACAUGUAAGCUAUCACUGAAGGAGGGGAUUGCGUCUGAGUAGCUAGGUGGAGGGGUAACGGCCCACCAAGGCGAUGAUCAGUAGCCGGUCUGAGAGGAUGAACGGCCACAUUGGGACUGAGACACGGCCCAGACUCAUACGGGAGGCAGCAGUGGGGAAUCUUCCGCAAUGGACGAAAGUCUGACGGAGCAACGCCGCGGGAGUGAUGACGGCCUUCGGGUUGUAAAGCUCUGUUAAUCGGGACGAAAGGCCUUCUUGCGAAUAGUGAGAAGGAUUGACGGUACCGGAAUAGAAAGCCACGGCUAACUACGUG
rnacentral:rRNA from 1 species